rnacentral:rRNA from 1 species
UACGUAGGUGGCAAGCGUUGUCCGGAUUUACUGGGCGUAAAGAGCGCGCAGGCGGUCGUUCAAGUCGCGUGUGAAAGCCCCCGGCUCAACUGGGAGGGUCACGCGAUACUGAUCGACUCGAAGGCAGGAGAGGGUAGUGGAAUUCCCGGUGUAGUGGUGAAAUGCGUAGAUAUCGGGAGGAACACCAGUGGCGAAGGCGACUUCCUGGCCUGUUCUUGACGCUGAGGCGCGAAAGCUAGGGGAGCAAACGGG